AGUAAGUAAGCAAAUUAGUGCGUUUGAUUUAGGUUCAAUUAUAGGAUAUUUAUCACUUACUA
rnacentral:tRNA from 1 species